CCGGACACCUUCGCGGGCCGCACCAGACAAAGCGACCCGGCCCCAGGCCACA
rnacentral:ncRNA from 1 species